rnacentral:misc_RNA from 1 species
GAUGAAGAACGUAGCGAAAUGCGAUAAGUAAUGUGAAUUGCAGAAUUCAGUGAAUCAUCGAAUCUUUGAACGCACAUUGCGCCCGCCAGUAUUCUGGCGGGCCUGCCUGUUCGAGCGUCAUUUCAACCAUCAAGCCCUGCUUGCGUUGGGGUCCUGCGGCUGCCCGCAGGCCCUGAAAACCAGUGGCGGGCUCGCUAGUCACACCGAGCGCAGUAAUACAUCUCGCUUUGGGCGUGCGGCGGGUUCUUGCCGUUAAACACCCCCUUUUUACCAAGGUUGACCUCGGAUCAGGUAGGAAUACCCGCUGAACUUAAGCAUAUCAAUAAGCGGAGGA